rnacentral:piRNA from 1 species
UGACUUCUCAGAACCCAUGCAUACUUCUU